CACGUAGGGGGCAAGCGUUGUCCGGAUUUAUUGGGCGUAAAGAGCUCGUAGGCGGCUCAGUAAGUCGGGUGUGAAACCUCCAGGCUCAACCUGGAGACGCCACCCGAUACUGCUGUGGCUUGAGUCCGGUAGGGGAGCGUGGAAUUCCUGGUGUAGCGGUGAAAUGCGUAGAUAUUCGGAAGAACACCAGUGGCGAAGGCGGCUCACUGGCCCGGUACUGACGCUGAGGUGCGAAAGCGUGGGGAGCAAACAGG
rnacentral:rRNA from 1 species